rnacentral:misc_RNA from 1 species
AAGUCGUAACAAGGUUUCCGUAGGUGAACCUGCGGAAGGAUCAUUAAAACGUUUCCAAACCCAACACCCAAGCAUCCAUCCCUGGAUGUUUUGGAUGUUAUACCCCUUUCACAAAAAGCGAACUUGUUUGAGUGAUCGUUGGAACUUUUGCGGGCCUUGGUUGGCUUUGCUUUUUUUCUCGAUCGCUUUUUCCCCUUUUUUUUUUAAAACCCAAUGAAACUUUUUGACUGAAAAACUUUUUUUUUGCUUCAUGCAAAAAAAAUAAAUACAAAACAAUGAGAAAAACAACUCUUAACAACGGAUAUCUUGGCUCUC